rnacentral:rRNA from 1 species
UACGAAGGGGGCUAGCGUUGCUCGGAAUCACUGGGCGUAAAGCGCACGUAGGCGGAUUGUUAAGUCAGGGGUGAAAUCCUGGAGCUCAACUCCAGAACUGCCUUUGAUACUGGCGAUCUUGAGUCCGGGAGAGGUGAGUGGGACUGCGAGUGUAGAGGUGAAAUUCGUAGAUAUUCGCAAGAACACCAGUGGCGAAGGCGGCUCACUGGCCCGGUACUGACGCUGAGGUGCGAAAGCGUGGGGAGCAAACAGG